rnacentral:lncRNA from 1 species
AAUUACUGUAUUAUAUGCAACUUCAUCAGAGAUAUUUCAGGAAAAAUUUUUGAACUGAAAUAAAAAUGACUAACAGAAGAAAGAUUUAAGACUGGCAUGGUUGCCAUUUUUAUUCUAUUGGAUUAUCUACCUGCUUCCUUCUUAUUGGAUACUAAACAUGGGAUAUUUCAAUGAUCUUCAUGGCCUGACUUCCACUGUAUCCAUGAUAAGAGUUAACAUUCAGGCAAGGAUGAAGUUAAAUGGGCAGGCAUGGACUUAUCUUGAAAAAAUUAAAGUUUUGACAUCCAAAAUAAAACACAAAUAUUAUAGAGUGGAAAUACUGCAUGUUUUUGUUUUGGUGGUCAGGUUAGUCAUCCAAUUAAGUCCAU